GAUGAAGAACGCAGCGAAAUGCGAUAAGUAAUGUGAAUUGCAGAAUUCAGUGAAUCAUCGAAUCUUUGAACGCACAUUGCGCCCCUUGGUAUUCCGAGGGGCAUGCCUGUUCGAGCGUCAUUAUAACCCUCAAGCUCAGCUUGGUGUUGGGGCCUGCUGCACUGGCAGCCCUUAAAAUCAGUGGCGGCGCCAUCUGGCUCUAAGCGUAGUAAUUCUUCUCGCUAUGGAGUCCUGGUGGAUGCUUGCCAUCAACCCCCAAUUUUUCUAUGGUUGACCUCGGGUCAGGUAGGGAUACCCGCUGAACUUAAGCAUAUCAAUAAGCGGAGGA
rnacentral:misc_RNA from 1 species